rnacentral:misc_RNA from 1 species
GGACUACAGGGGUUUCUAAUCCUGUUUGCUCCCCACGCUUUCGCACCUCAGCGUCAGUAUUUGGCCAGAAAGUCGCCUUCGCCACUGGUGUUCCUUCGGAUAUCUACGCAUUUCACCGCUACACCCGAAAUUCCACUUUCCUCUCCAAUACUCUAGUUCGACAGUAUCGAAUGCAAUUCCAAGGUUAAGCCCUGGGCUUUCACAUCCGACUUACCGAACCGCCUACGCGCGCUUUACGCCCAGUAAUUCCGAUUAACGCUUGCACCCUUCGUAUUACCGCGGCUGCUGGCAC